AUGAAUGAUUGUAAAGAAAGUUUGUAGACUAUUAUUGAUCGUAUCAAUUUAAUGUUUGGUUAGCUUGAAAUAGUGACUUUAUUCCUGAGAAAGUUCUGCUGUAGUACUGAGCUAAUUUGCUGAGUAUAUAGCCCAGAGCAAACUAGGAAACAUUGUUGCGGACACAUUGUUUCCUACCAAUGUUUCGCCAUGUUUCCCAGAGUGGGCAAACACUAGGAAACAUUAGUGAGAAACAUAGGGAAACAUCAAAUGUUUCUGAAUUUGAUAGGAAAUAUUUUUCCUUCCCGGGAAGCAAAUUAUGUUUCCGCAACAAUGUUUCCACGGGUGGGCAAACAGGAAAACAUUUGAGGAAACAUCGAGAAUCACAAAU